rnacentral:rRNA from 1 species
GACGAACGCUGGCGGCGUGCUUAACACAUGCAAGUCGAACGACGUGGCGACCGGGUGAGUAACGCGUAAUCAACCUGCCCUUCAGAGGGGGACACCAGUUGGAAACGACUGCUACUCCCGCUUACUGAAGGAGGGGAUUGCGUCGGAAUAGCGCGUUGGCGGGGGAACGGCCCACCAAGGCGAGGAUCAGUAAGCGGUUUGAGAUGAUGAACGGCCACAUUGGGACUGAGACACGGCCCAGACUCCUACGGGAGGCAGCAGUGGGGAAUCUUCCGCAAUGGACGAAAGUCUGACGGAGCAACGCCGCGUGAGUGAUGACGGCCUUCGGGUUGUAAAGCUCUGUUAAUCGGGACGCGGUACCGGAAUAGAAAGCCACGGCUAACUACGUGCCAGCAGCCGCGGUAAUAC